rnacentral:rRNA from 1 species
GAUGAACGCUGGCGGCGUGCCUAAUACAUGCAAGUCGAGCGAACAGACGAGGAGCUUGCUCCUCUGACGUUAGCGGCGGACGGGUGAGUAACACGUGGAUAACCUACCUAUAAGACUGGGAUAACUUCGGGAAACCGGAGCUAAUACCGGAUAAUAUAUUGAACCGCAUGGUUCAAUAGUGAAAGACGGUUUUGCUGUCACUUAUCGAUGGAUCCGCGCCGCAUUAGCUAGUUGGUAAGGUAACGGCUUACCAAGGCAACGAUGCGUAGCCGACCUGAGAGGGUGAUCGGCCACACUGGAACUGAGACACGGUCCAGGCUCCUACGGGAGGCAGCAGUAGGGAAUCGUCCGCAAUGGGCGAAAGCCUGACGGAGCAACGCCGCGUGAGUGAUGAAGGUCUUCGGAUCGUAAAACUCUGUUAUUAGGGAAGAACAAAUGUGGAAGUAACUAUGCACGUCUUGACGGUACCUAAUCAGAAAGCCACGGCUAACUACGUG